rnacentral:rRNA from 1 species
UGGACAAUGGUAGGAGAGCGUUCUAAGGGCGUUGAAGCAUGAUCGUAAGGACAUGUGGAGCGCUUAGAAGUGAGAAUGCCGGUGUGAGUAGCGAAAGACGGGUGAGAAUCCCGUCCACCGAUUGACUAAGGUUUCCAGAGGAAGGCUCGUCCGCUCUGGGUUAGUCGGGUCCUAAGCUGAGGCCGACAGGCGUAGGCGAUGGAUAACAGGUUGAUAUUCCUGUACCACCUAUAAUCGUUUUAAUCGAUGGGGGGACGCAGUAGGAUAGGCGAAGCGUGCGAUUGGAUUGCACGUCUAAGCAGUAAGGCUGAGUAUUAGG